rnacentral:lncRNA from 1 species
UUGAUUGCAAAUAUAUAAUAAUUAAUUUAUUUAAGAAAAUAAAUUAACAAUGAUAUUAUAUAUUUAUUUAAUAAAAAUAUGAAAAGGUUAAUUUUAUAAACCCAAGUAUUAUAUUCCUUAUCCCUAAUUUCUUUAUCCCUGAAACCCUAAAAUUUCCGUAGAGAUUCGUCCCAUGAUUAUCCCCAUUAUUGAUUACAAAAAAAAUAUAAUACUUAAUUUAUUAUUAAAAAUAAUUAUUAUAUAUUUAUAUGACAUAUCCCUUCAUUUAUCCCUUGCUUUUAUCACUUAAAGCCCUAGGAUUUAAUCUCAUAUUU